rnacentral:sRNA from 1 species
AUUCAGUUUGCUUUUUUUUUCUUCUUCUUGUUUUU